CUCUGCCCCCUCUAAACAGCCCCCGGAAUGCCUCGAAGCUGGGACAAAAGAGAGGCGAAGAGCUAGAGAGUACUGACGAGUCCGGGCUCGAUGCAGAAACACAGAACACUUCACUGUUGCAGCCCCUGGAACUAAGAGAGGGGGAGAGAGUUGACAUGGCGAUGUAUCUGUAAAGCUGGACUGCUGCAAGAUACGGUGACUGUACCAUAACAAAAACCAACAUCAAGCUUAGCUGAAUGUCAAAUCAAAGUACCAGUACAGUAUCCUGAUACAUUGAUAUUAAUAUUGUUAUUUUGAAAUUAUACAAAAGUGCAAGUCUGUCUCAGUUUUAUCAAAAUGACAGAUAUUGAAAGUUCAGGUCGGUGUCAUUUUUAUUCAAGCGGAGCUGUGCUGAGGUUUGAAAGAAACAGCAGUCUCCUCCCACUCCUCCUACUGGUCUGGUCUACAGCCCAGAACCAUUCUGCAGCAUCCCCAACCAGGCCCUGGUUCCACGCCUCUUCAUAGCAGGGGUCUCCAUAGGGGCAGUCCUCAUGGUUGUGCCCAAACUCUCCACAUGCACCUCACAGGGGAGCCCCUUCAGUCCUCCACUGCUCCUGCUCAGCUGCCCAGUCCGGGACCACCACCUACUCCCAGGUGCCCCCUGUUGCUGCCU